UAAUCUCGUGGCUCAACCCAUGGGGCCAUGGGGCCAUGGGGCUCUGAUUCCAGUUUCUUUUUUCUUUGCCUUCAGGACUUCCCAGCUCUGGUCUCUUGGGGUUCCUAUGUAUGUAGCCUGAGAAGGAGAGACGUUGAAGAACAUUUCAUUGAGAAUGGAUCCUUUCCAUUCAAGGACUUGUCUGCUACCCAUGGCUCUCACUCAGGGUUGGGAGGAGGGGACUUCUACCAGCCACCCCUAACCCAGCAUAUUCAAACAGUGAGUUUUUUUUUCAUGGACAACAUACCAUCACUGUGAAAAACAACACAAACAACUGGCUUGGACUUAAAACAGGGAGAUAUGGAGAUUGCAGAACUCCCCCCAAAGUAGGCUGGGGAUUGAAAGAGAGAAGCUGAUCCACAGGAAAUUGCCCUUUCCUAGAUCACAAGUGAGUAAAUGCUGGUGGUUUCAUGUAAUUCGACCUGUAGCUGGAAAAACACUUAAGAGAGACCCAGAAAUGGGGCAGAGGAAGAGUGAGAAAGCAAGAGGAGGAGGAGGGCCAGUGUGAGAGAGGAGUUGCUGGCUAAAUGGGACAGAAAUACUCUCCUUGCUGAGAGAAGGUGAAAGAAGAAAGUUCUUGGCAUGACAUGGAUAUGACAUGUGCCCCAUAGGCUCAUGUGCUGAAGGCCUGGUUUCCUGUGUUGCUUCCAUUGAGAGGUGAGUGGAUUAGGAGGGUGCCAGCCUCAUCCAUAGACUCAUCUGAUGAACUCAGAGCUGAAUGGACUACUAGGAGGUAGGGUCAAGUUAGGAGAAGUCGUCCAUUGAAGGCGUGCCUGGUUCCCACAUCUUGUUCCUAGAUCCUUCCCCUUCUUCUGCCUUCUUGAUUCCACAAGGUGAGCACCCUCCUUCACAAUGUGUUGCUGUUACCAUAUCACUUGGAUGUGUCACUGGUCAAAGUAAUGAAGCCAAGUAAAUAUGAACUAAAACUCCGAAUCCAUGAACAAAAACAACUCUUUCCUUUUUUUUUUGACUCAGUUCUAUCUGGCAUUUUGUCACAGUGAUGAAGAGCUGACUGACACAUCUCUCGUGGACAUAUUUCCAAGUGGUGAGAAAUGAGAUUACCAUUCUGUGAAAGAUCUGGACUCAGGGAAUAAAAAGUGGAGGUUUAGGGACUGGCUCA
rnacentral:lncRNA from 1 species